CCCAAUUGCUUUUAUCCUCCGGCUUCUUCUUUCCUCCUUAUUCUUUUCUCCUACCUUGUUAUGCUCUGGGCCUGUGCAGCCCGGCGACAGCCAGAUUAAAAAAAUAAAAGAUCAAAAUCAAAAGGUCGAACCGCCGUUGGUGGUUCAAAAACCGGCGAACCGGCAGUUCGAAACCGAAUGGGCAAGUCUAAAUUUAUACCUCCAAGUAAAAUCAAUUUCAAUGCCCUCUCGCCAAACCAAUUCCUCCCACCUCCUGCCACUUGACGCGCGAUGCCUAAAAUAUUUUAACCCUAAUUCACACUUCGCAUUCACAGUCGCGUUAACAGCCGCUCCUUUGUCGAUUCAAGUCCGGCAGCGCGCAGUCUGCAGACGAUUCAAGCAACUUCGUCCAUCGAUUGAGCUCUUCCUCGUUCACAUGGAGUGACCAGAUGUUUGCAUGAGAUGUUAAAACUGUCUUUUGGGUUAAAUGGGUUUUCAGUUUUAUCAAAUUAGGGUCAGAACCCAAAACUCAACGAUUGUGGCUACUAAGUUGAAAUGCCUAGUCUUUGGUUAUCUUUACCAUCAGGCUUAGUCUUUUCCUCAAAUUCUUUAUAUGAAUGGAAAAUCUAUUUUCCGAAGCUUGUCAAUAAUUGUUGUAUUAUAUGUACUAUGAGACUUAGUAUAGAGAUGUUGUAAUGUUAUUGAUUUAUGAUAGGGGAAUUCCUGAUUAGUUUUUAGUUUAGGUAGGAGGUGGAAACACUAGUAAUCUUCGUGAAGAAAAUCAAAAUACUGAAAGUGGAAUGGUUGAUAAUAGAACAUGGAUUAUUUUCUAUAAUUUUGAGUGAGUUUUUAAGUUUAGUACAUCCACUGUUAUCUCUUCAAUAUAAUUAAUUAUAUUUUUAAAAUCUGAUUUCUAACCGAAUGCAAAUAUAUUUUAAUUUAUAGUUCCGUUUUUUAUUGGAAAUAUUUUUCAAUCUAAUUUUCCUAGAGCAUGGAUAUUUAUGAAGCGAGUUCCCUAUAGCCAAAAGAACACAUGGUUUCACUACCAAAAAAUUGACUUUUUGUAGCGGUCUGAAAUUCGUAAUCAAAGCCCAAUUUUUGUGCAAAAAAGCCUUUUGUAUCGACUUUGUUACGGAUUUGAACUGCUACGAAAAGUCGCGGUACAAAAGGUCAUUGCUGCAACAAAAUCCGUAAUAAAUAAGUGGUAGUCAACACAGUAAAUAAGCAUGUGUUAGUUGUAUUCGUUACAUUUUUCAUAUGUAACAAAAGGAUCGAUCAUGUUUUUGUGACACAUAUGUCCGUAUCAAAAAUUUCGGAACAAAAAUGAAAUCUUGUCAGAAAACUUUUUGUUACUAAAUAUAUCUGAAACAAAAAAGGCGGUACAAAAGUAGACUUUUUGUUAGAAAAUUAUUUGUUACAAAAUUUGUCAGUAACAAAAAAUUAAGUACAAGGCAUGUGAUCGUGAAACACCAUUUGUGUCAAGCAAUGCCCAUAACAAAAUGUUGCUACAAAAGGUUUUUCUGCGUCAAAUAAGGAUUUUGUUAUAAAAUUAAUUUCAUCACAAAUAGCAUAAUACCUGUCUUUUUAUGUUAAAUAUAAAAAUUAUAAAAACAAUAUACAAAAUGACACUGAUCUAACAACGUUUCCGACACGCCAAAAACAUAAAUGUAAUAUUUUGCCCCUAACAACCUUAUCAAAUGAGUACCCACACAUCCAAAAUCCAGAAUAUUGAACAUUCAAAAGAUAAAGAAAUACACAUAAGUAUUAACGUAGUAUAAUGAACACACAUGGUCGUUGUUUUGCAAUUUCCCAGAAGUCACUCAAGGAUGACAAAACUGUUGCAGUUGAAAAAUAAACUUGUUGCUCCAAUCUCCGGGAAAGCACUCAAGAACAGCAAAGAAGCUGCGAUGAAAUGUGAACUUACAUAAGAUUUUAAUUUCCACAUAACAAAUACAAAGCAUAUAUCGCUCAAGAGAAGAUCUUCUAUUUGCUUUAACGCAUUGAAGAAACCAAAAUACACAGAUAAUAUAAAGAACUACAAACUAUUAUACAGAAAUUUCUAUAAAAUUCUUAUCUGAACUAUCUUUUAAAUAUAAAACCAAAAUAUAACAUUUGUAAUCCAUCACCUAAAUUAACCAAAACAACAUUUAAGUUCAUUCAAUACAUAACAUUGAUAAUUCAUCACCUAAAUUAACCAGAUAAUUCUCAGAUUUGGCAUGUCCUUAAGUCCAUCAUACUGAUUCAAUCCAAAUCAAUCUGAAAUAACUCUAUAAUAUAUUUAGUAUUUAAAACUUCGAUAUGAUGCAACACAAGAAAAUAACAAAAAGAAUGAAAGAUCUAUAUGAUAUAUGGCAUGCCCUAUGGUUGAAGCACCAUACAGGUAUAGUUUAACUUUAACACGAUUUAUAGAAAUCUUGAACAAAAAAUUGUAUACAAAUUAAACCUGUAGAGGUUCAUGUAGUGUACCAUGAUGUUUAGAUCCAAAUAUGUCCAUCUUGAUAGAGGAGCAUGUAAUAUGCCAAAAUGGUAAUUAUGAGUGGUGUAACCAUCUUACUAGAGCAUUCAAGAGGAUGAAUAGGGAACAAACCAAAACAUCAUUCAUUACGUGGCAUGGUUGAUGCAAUUAGUUUUCUUUAUUUGUAAACAUCUUAGAGUUCUCAUCCAAGUUUGGAGAAAUGUAAGAAGUUAACAUUCAAAUCCGUAUCAACCUGGAAGUUAGACUCUUAUGUUAUCGUAGAAGUUACACAAUACUAUGUUCACAAUCAUAACAUUGAUUAAACAACAAGUCCAAUGGUGUAUAAUAUAUUAUUUCUAUAAAUCUCUAUAUGUAAAGCCUAAGGCUACCUAAGAAAGUGAUCAAACUGUGGAAGAUGCUUUCGUUUUCUAAAACAAUGUCUACAAAUAUACAUAAUUAAUGACAUACCUUGCGCGAAGAGGGUAAAUGCUUUGAGAUUGGAAGGGUGAUGGGUACCAACACGAGCAAAAUGAUUAUCUUAUGUAGUAUACGGAAGAUUGGAGUGACCGGAGAGUUGCGGCUGCGAUUAGCUGCCCGGCAUUCAUAAACUCAUAUGCUCUGAAAAUUAUUGAUACAUUAUAGAUGGAGAACCUCGAGAGAAAUGGUCGUUUUGAGUGAGGUGUUUUUGCGCUAUUGUGAUGAUAAAAUAGAUGAGAGUCUUACAAUCAUAGUUAGUUCCAUUCUAUUCUCUGGCGAGCUAAAUCCUACAUGAAUAUUUUAUUCAGUGACAUGGAUUUUUCCACACACAAAGCAGGGAAUCAUAGUGUGCGGAGCUGAACUGUUAGAUAAAUAGAACUAAUUAACCAAGCUACCAACUAGUGCAAACUAAGUAAUUAGCUAGCACAUAGAUUAGUAAGUCUGAAUAAUGUGCAUAGUUCCAUACAACAAGUUGAUCUAUAAUAACACAAUUACAAGCAGACCGAAGCUAAUGGGAUUCAAUAUAUCAUUCAAUUAAUCCAAACAAGAAAAUCUAAUAUAAUAAUAUAACUAAACUGAACAACAAGCUGCAAGGCUAGAUAUAUAUCACUGAACUUAUUGGAGUCGAGGGUGGCACUUGAAAUAAGCAAUUUAAGGUCCGGGCAGAACCUUACAAUAUCCUAUCACGCAAAAAGGGUAGAGUAGAACAAGAAACAGGUUACACAUAAUGUUUGCCAAAUAUAGAUAGAUAUAUAUAUAUAUAUAGAGAGAGAGAGAGAGAUUCUAAUGAAUUCGAUGUCUUUCACCCCUUACUGCCAUCAUUAUUCUACCUUACACCUAACAAAUAUGAUUAUCUUGAAGUUGUCAUACCUCAGAGAAGAUUCAACUAAGAGAUUCAAGAUCUUACCUUCACCAAGCCAAAUAAAAUGUCUGUUGACAGUGUUCUUUCAUGGGCCUCAUCAAUGAUCACCACAAUGAAAUAGAUGUAUAGUAAAUACAUUACAGUUAGCCCACAAAAUUAUCACAUGAUAUUUUAAAUGUGAAAUCCACCUGUAACUUGCAAGGUCAGGCUCCCCAAGGAACUCUCGCAGCAACAUUCCAUCCGUCAUAUAUUUCAAGAUUGUCUUUUCUGAAGUACAGUCUUCAAAUCGAAUAGAAUAGCCAACCUAAAAAGAACAAACUACAAUGGUCAGUAGAGACUUCCAAGAAAUAGAAACACUAUAGGAAAUUAGGAACUUUAAAAUAUCAUGGGGCAGGUCUAACUUAUUCUAUGACAUAUCGCAAAAUGCAGUGUGAAUAUUAAUUUAUUACACUAACAGAAUGAUGUUACUGUUGCAAUUAAUGGGCAUCUCUAGAUAAAACAAUGUUCAUUUUCCCAAUGCCAAAUGGAGUAGCAUGAGCUGCCAAACACUUGCAUGAAAAAAGCAGAAAAUAUACCUCAUGCCCCAGUUUUACACCCAUUUCUUGAGCAACUCGAGCCGCAACACUCAUUGCUGCAACACGACGAGGCUGGGUGCAUCCAAUCUGUCAGCAAGGUCAUCAUUUAGUAAAUUCAUAUUCCAAGUAAAACUCAUACCUGCUACUGGAAGUGUGUUAAAAAUUAAAGCUGGGGUUUCCCAAGUCAAUUAAUAUACGAAGCACCCCAGUUCCUAGAGUCCGAUAAACACAUUGAGAAAAUAACUUCAACGAAAAUCACCCAACAAAAAUUAAACUAGUAUAAUGACACUGCCAUUAUCUUACGCGCAAAAUUACUUAUAAUCCACUUUCAUUUGAAAAUUUUACACCAUACUGCUUCAUAAUUACUGCAUGUGUGUUUAGAAAAUAUUAGGCAGAAUCUCCUAGAAAGUACAUAAGGCUCCCUUGUGUCGUAGAAAUUGCGUAAGGCUCUCUCGUGGAAUUUCUAAAUCAUGAUAUAGUGCAGAUUUUCCAAACUAUAAGUGUAUUAUAAGAAAUUUUGCCUAAUCUUACUAAAUAUGAAAAGCUUUCUCAAUCUGAUAGAUAUGAAAAGUAAAAACAUAGAAUCUCUGCCGUUCCAUAAGUUUUAUACGAUACAACAAUGAAAUUCAUAGGAAUAUAGUCCAGCUAGGUAAUUCAAGCAAAUUGGACAGUACCAGUUAUCGUAUAAAGCUUGAUGGAUAACCUCAAUGCAUACAAUAAGAAACUAAGAUUGGAAACACACAGUACCUUUCCUCUCUUGGUGUACCCUGCCUCAUGAAGAUACUGGGGUAUCUGUGUAGUUUUUCCAGAGCACCUGCAAAACAAUAUAGCAUUGAAUUAAUAAGUGCAUCAACUGACAGUGUACAGACAGCAAACACGUGACACAAGGCAGUUUAUAUAUACCUGAUGAUUAUCAAUAGCUUCUAGCAACUCAUCUCUAUAACGAUAUACUGGCAGAGUCUUCCUGUCAUUCUGAAAAUGAACGAGCCAAGAGAAAAGUUAAUGCAUGAGGAAGAGAAAGUGAUACUACUAGUACGUGUUUAAUAGGAUUUCAUCCAUGAUGCUACCAGAAAUUCUUAUUGAGCAGAAGCUUCUGGUGAUACAGCAAAUGAUUUCUGCUCAACCUGUGAAGAAGUGAAUCAUUAAUGCAGACUAUUCAGACCAUCCAGUUUUAGAUUUCUCAUAGUAAAUUGCAGAGUUAAUGUACAUACAUUUUCACCUUCCAUAACUGUUGCCUUUAUGAACUCUAUUUGGUCUUCAAAAACGAACCUGCAAGUCAAAUAAAUAAAUAAAAAUACAAUCUGUUAGCGUCAAUGAAGCUUAUCAGUUCCAUUUUAAUCUCACAUGAAACCACCUUAAUAAUAUGUAUACACAAAGUGUAAGAUGCCAGUUGCUCUGACAAUUCUGUUUUAUUUUUUAUUAUUUUUUUUAAGGAUAAGAUGGUGUGAUAAGAAAAAGUGGAACCCAUAUGAAAACUUUAGAACUCACUCAUAAUCAUCUUGUUUCUGCUUUUUAUUCUUAGACCCAAACUUAAGAGUCGCUUUGCCUGAAAUUAAAUAACCAUAAGGUUAGUACUUAAAGAUAUAGCUAUGUCAUA